rnacentral:rRNA from 1 species
GAUCCUGGCUCAGGACGAACGCUGGCGGCGCGCCUAACACAUGCAAGUCGAACGAGAGAGAGGGAGCUUUGCUUCCUUGAUCGAGUGGCGAACGGGUGAGUAACACGUGAGGAACCUGCCUCAAAGAGGGGGACAACAGUUGGAAACGACUGCUAAUACCGCAUAAGCCCACGACCCGGCAUCGGGAAGAGGGAAAAGGAGCAAUCCGCUUUGAGAUGGCCUCGCGUCCGAUUAGCUAGUUGGUGAGG